CUCUGUGGCCUAGGCUGGAGUGCAGUGGUGCGAUCUUGGCUCACUGUAACCUCCACCUCCUGGGUUCAAGUGAGUCUCCUACCUCAGCCUCCCAAGUAGCUGGGAUUACAGGUGCCCACCAGCACACCUGGCUAAUUUUUAUGUUUUUAGUAGAGAUCGAGUUUUGCUGUGUUGGCCAGGCUGGUCUCAAACUCCCGGCGUCCCAAAGUGCUGGGAUUACAGGUGCGACCCACCAUGCCUGGCCCAACCCCAUAUUAUUUCUGGUAACAAAGCACAGAAACAUGAUUUCUCGAAUUUUGCUAGGAUUUUAAUUUACAAAAGAAAGGUGAAUGCCAUUAAAAGGUGUUUAAUACACUCCCACCAGAAACAAGAGGCAAGGCAGGCCCUGGGGGCCUCACAAAGGCGGUCUUAUGCAAGGGUGAGAAAGCAGAGUUAUCAGGGAGGUGGGACUAUUGCUUUAUGAACGUGAUGAUUGGAAGCAAAAACGUGGGGCUUUUUCCUAUUGAAUACAAAGUAAAAUAAUGAAUGCUGGUGUCAGUGGUUGGGAAUAACAACAUUUGCAGGCUCAUGAGAGCUGCCUGACAAAAAGCGUGUAAACAACAGUGAUUGCUCCUGUGGCCCUGUGAUUCAGCAGGUUUAUGGAGCAGUUAAGAAUCGCAGAUGUCAAAUGGCCAACACAGAAUCUAACGACAUGCUUAAUACAAAUUAUUAUUAGUAGAAAUGCUGAAUUGCUUCAUUUCUGCAAUUUCUGCUGCUUCUUAAGAUGCUUUUAAUGAAUAAAAUCUGCCUUAAAAUUUGAUACCUGGUAACUUCUCUCUGUGAGUUUUGAAUUGGCUGAUGUAACCAAAAUGCCAGCUCUUGCCAUCUAACUACCAUUAAAAGGAACUUCUAAAGCUCCGAAGUGGUCAACAGUUUCACUUCCAACUUUUUUAAAAGAUACACAAUUUUCUAAAAAAUUUUUCUUUAUGGGCGAUUGAAUAGUUGGGCUUUGGCUAAUUCCUCAUUAGCAAUAGAAUUAUGUAUAUUUUGCAAACUCUAAUACAGAACACUUAAUGUAUCAGACAACCAUGAUUAUGAUGUAUAUACCUGGUAUAAACAAUCUUUUUUGCAUAUUGAAUUCUGCAUUUUUUUCUUCCUUGAUACGUAUGAGAUUCACCAGUACCAGUUUUUCUCUUGUGGUGGCAUAUAGUUGAUUGUCAUUUGCAUUAUCUAUUAAAAACCUGUGGCAGCUCAUGGUAUUAUUGACCAUAUGUUCUAGUGUCUUCUUGCAGAUUUAAAUAUUUUAUUGCAGUGUAAAGUUUAAUAUUUAGAUGUGUGAUACAUCUUUGGAUAAUCUGUAAUUAAAUUGAUCUUUUGUAAUGGUGAUAGUGAUUAGCACACACUGAAAAUCCAGCAAAGCAAUUAUUUUUCUCUUUUUAACUGGAAAUCAUAUUCGUAAGUUGUGGUAGAUAUUAUCAUCAGUGUAUUCAUGAUUCGAUUUAUAUUUUGUGUUAUCUGGUUAUAAAUUUUAUAUAGCAUUCAAUUUGACAAAAUAUAAAUCUAUUUGAUUUGAAUUUAAUGGUGUGUGUGUGUGUGUGUGUGU
rnacentral:lncRNA from 1 species